rnacentral:rRNA from 1 species
AGAGUUUGAUCCUGGUCAGAAUCAACGCUGGCGGCGUGCUAACACAUGCAAGUCGAACGCGAAAGGGGAGCAAUCCCUGAGUAGAGUGGCAAACGGGUGAGUAACACGUGGGUGACCUGCCUUCGAGUGGGGGAUAACGUCCCGAAAGGGACGCUAAUACCGCAUGACAUCCUGUCUUUGGACAGACGGAGAUCAAAGCCGGGGAUUCGCAAGAACCUGGCGCUUGAAGAGGGGCCCGCGCCUGAUUAGCUAGUUGGUGAGGUAACGGCUCACCAAGGCAACGAUCAGUAUCCGGCCUGAGAGGGCGGACGGACACACUGGGACUGAGACACGGCCCAGACUCCUACGGGAGGCAGCAGUGGGGAAUUGUUCGCAAUGGGCGCAAGCCUGACGACGCAACGCCGCGUGGAGGAUGAAGAUCUUCGGGUCGUAAACUCCUGUCGAGUGGGAAGAAUGGACCGGGAAUAAAUACUUCCCGGUAUUGACGUACCA